rnacentral:rRNA from 1 species
AGUGAACGCUGGCGGUAGGCCUAACACAUGCCAGUCGAACGGCAGCACAGUAAGAGCUUGCUCUUACGGGUGGCGAGUGGCGGACGGGUGAGGAAUACAUCGGAAUCUACUUUUUCGUGGGGGAUAACGUAGGGAAACUUACGCUAAUACCGCAUACGACCUACGGGUGAAAGCAGGGGAUCUUCGGACCUUGCGCGAUUGAAUGAGCCGAUGUCGGAUUAGCUAGUUGGCGGGGUAAAGGCCCACCAAGGCGACGAUCCGUAGCUGGUCUGAGAGGAUGAUCGACCACACUGGAACUGAGACACGGUCCAGACUCCUACGGGAGGCGGCAGUGGGGAAUAUUGGACAAUGGGCGCAAGCCUGAUCCAGCCAUACCGCGUGGGUGAAGAAGGCCUUCGGGUUGUAAAGCCCUUUUGUUGGGAAAGAAAAGCAGCAGGUUAAUACCCCGCUGUUCUGACGGUACCCAAAGAAUAAGCACCGGCUAACUUCGUG